AACGAACGCUGGCGGCAGGCUUAACACAUGCAAGUCGAGCGCCCCGCAAGGGGAGCGGCAGACGGGUGAGUAACGCGUGGGAAUCUACCCAUCUCUACGGAAUAACGCAUGGAAACGUGUGCUAAUACCGUAUACGUCCUUCGGGAGAAAGAUUGAGCGGAGAUGGAUGAGCCCGUGUUGGAUUAGCUAGUUGGUGGGGCAAAGGCCUACCAAGGCGAUGAUCCAUGGCUGGUCUGAGAGGAUGACCAGCCACACUGGGACUGAGACACGGCCCAGACUCCUCGGGGAGGCAGCAGUGGGGAAUAUUGGACAAUGGGCGCAAGCCUGUUCCAGCCAUGCCGCGUGAGUGAUGAAGGCACUAGGGUUGGAAAGCUCUUUCACCGGUGAAGAUAAUGACGGUAACCGGAGAAGAAGCCCCGGCUAACUUCGUGCCAGCCGCCGCAGUAACAC
rnacentral:rRNA from 1 species